GACGAACGCUGGCGGCGUGCUUAACACAUGCAAGUCGAACGGAAAGGCCUCUUUCGGGGGGUACUCGAGUGGCGAACGGGUGAGUAACACGUGAGUAACCUGCCCUUGACUUUGGGAUAACUUCAGGAAACUGGGGCUAAUACCGGAUAGGAGCUCCUGCUGCAUGGUGGGGGUUGGAAAGUUUCGGCGGUUGGGGAUGGACUCGCGGCUUAUCAGCUUGUUGGUGGGGUAGUGGCUUACCAAGGCUUUGACGGGUAGCCGGCCUGAGAGGGUGACCGGCCACAUUGGGACUGAGAUGCGGCCCAGACUCCUACGGGAGGCAGCAGGGGGGAAGAUUGAACAAUGGGUGGCAGCCGGAUGCAGCAACGCCGUGUGCGGGAUGACGGCCUUAGGGUUGUAAACCGCUUUCGCUCGUGACGAAGCUUUGUGUGACGGUAGUGGGUAAAGAAGCACCGGCUAACUACGUG
rnacentral:rRNA from 1 species